rnacentral:rRNA from 1 species
GAUGAACGCUGGCGGCGUGCUUAACACAUGCAAGUCGAACGGGAAUUAUUUUAUUGAAACUUCGGUCGAUUUAAUUUAAUUCUAGUGGCGGACGGGUGAGUAACGCGUGGGUAACCUGCCUUAUACAGGGGGAUAACAGUCAGAAAUGGCUGCUAAUACCGCAUAAGCGCACAGAGCUGCAUGGCUCAGUGUGAAAAACUCCGGUGGUAUAAGAUGGACCCGCGUUGGAUUAGCUGGUUGGUGGGGUAGCGGCCCACCAAGGCGACGAUCCAUAGCCGGCCUGAGAGGGUGAACGGCCACAUUGGGACUGAGACACGGCCCAGACUCCUACGGGAGGCAGCAGUGGGGAAUAUUGCACAAUGGGGGAAACCCUGAUGCAGCGACGCCGCGUGAAGGAAGAAGUAUCUCGGUAUGUAAACUUCUAUCAGCAGGGAAGAUAGUGACGGUACCUGACUAAGAAGCCCCGGCUAACUACGUG